rnacentral:rRNA from 1 species
UAGAUACCCUGGUAGUCCACGCCGUAAACGAUGAGCACUAGGUGUUGGGCCCGUUAGGGCUCAGUGCCGCAGUUAACGCAAUAAGUGCUCCGCCUGGGGAGUACGCUCGCAAGAGUAAAACUCAAAGGAAUUGACGGGGACCCGCACAAGCAGCGGAGCAUGUGGUUUAAUUCGAAGCAACGCGAAGAACCUUACCAGGGCUUGACAUCCUGCUGACAGGACCUUAACCGGUCCCUUCUUCGGACAGCAG